GUACGCUGCCUUUCCGCCACAAAUGAAAAGCAAGAUCAUCAGUUCGUAAGGAGUUAAGUGAAAGUCCGGCUCUACACGGAAGUCUACAGAUACUAUCAAGCUCUGUCAGCCUAGAUUAGGAACAUGAGUGAACUGCAAUCUUCAGGACACCCAGCAUGUUCAAUACAAGCGUGCCGCACAAGCCCUGAAAAGUGAAGCCAAAACGUCUCGAUCGCCCCCUGUCAAGUGGCUCCUGGCUGUUACAGUCAUGGAAUGUAGGAGCCUCAUCGUUCUGCAUGCAUCUAUCCAUUCCUCCAACCUCUCCUUGACUGUGGUGCAGCUGGAACCAUCAGUCUCUCCAUUCCUUCAACCUCUCCUUGGCUGUGGGUGUAGC